GAUGAAGAACGUAGCGAAAUGCGAUAAGUAAUGUGAAUUGCAGAAUUCAGUGAAUCAUCGAAUCUUUGAACGCACCUUGCACCCUUUGGCUAUUCCGAAGGGUAUGCCUGUUUGAGUAUCAUGAACACCUCAACUCUUAUGGUUUGCCAUGAUGAGCUUGGACUUUGGGGGUCUUGCUGGCCUGUGGUCAGCUCCUCUCAAAUGGAUUAGCUUGCCAGUGUUUGGUGGCAUCACAGGUGUGAUAACUAUCUACGCUUGUGGUUUUCCACCAGGUAACCUUCAGCAAUGGGGGUUCGCUGGGGCUCAUAAAUGUCUCUCCUCAGUGAGGACAGCUCUUUGAACGUUUGAUCUCAAAUCAGGUAGGACUACCCGCUGAACUUAAGCAUAUCAAUAACGGAGGA
rnacentral:misc_RNA from 1 species